rnacentral:rRNA from 1 species
UACGUAGGUGGCAAGCGUUGUCCGGAUUUACUGGGCGUAAAGAGCGCGCAGGCGGUCGUUUAAGUCGAAUGUGAAAGCCCCCGGCUCAACUGGGGAGGGUCAUUCGAUACUGAUCGACUUGAAGGCAGGAGAGGGAAGCGGAAUUCCCGGUGUAGUGGUGAAAUGCGUAGAUAUCCGGGAGGAACACCAGUGGCGAAGGGCGGCUUCCUGGCCUGUUCUUGCCGCUGAGGCGCGAAAGCUAGGGGGAGCAAAGCGGGAUU